UAAGUACUCCCUCUGUUCCAAAUUACUCGUCGCAGAAAUGGAUAUAUCUAGAACUAAAAUACAUCUAGAUACAUCCAUACCUACGACAAGUAAUUCGGAACGGAGGGAGUAAUAA
rfam:Triticum aestivum genome assembly, contig: Triticum_aestivum_CS42_TGACv1_scaffold_178293_2DS